rnacentral:rRNA from 1 species
UGAUCCUGGCUCAGAUUGAACGCUGGCGGAAUGCUUUACACAUGCAAGUCGAACGGCAGCAUAGAGAGCUUGCUCUCUGAUGGCGAGUGGCGAACGGGUGAGUAAUAUAUCGGAACGUACCUAGUAAUGGGGAAUAACUAGCUGAAAGGUUAGCUAAUGCCGCAUACGACCUACGGGUGAAAGCAGGGGAUCUUCGGACCUUGCGUUAUUAGAGCGGCCGAUAUCUGAUUAGCUUGUUGGUGGGGUAAUGGCCUACCAAGGCGACGAUCAGUAGCUGGUCUGAGAGGACGAUCAGCCACACUGGAACUGAGACACGGUCCAGACUCCUACGGGAGGCAGCAGUGGGGAAUUUUGUACAAUGGGGGCAACCCUGAUACAGCCAUUCCGCGUGAGUGAAGAAGGCCUUCGGGUUGUAAAGCUCUUUCGCAAGAGAAGAAAACCUGCUAUCUAAUAAAUAGUAAGUAUGACGGUAUCUUGACAAGAAGCACCGGCUAACUACGUGCCAGCAGCCGCGGUAAUACGUAGGGUGCAAGCGUUAAUCGGAAUUACUGGGCGUAAAGCGUGCGCAGGCAGUUUUAUAAGUCAGAUGUGAAAUCCCCGAGCUCAACUUGGGAACUGCGUUUGAAACUAUAAGACUAGAGUGUGUCAGAGGGGGGUAGAAUUCCAAGUGUAGCAGUGAAAUGCGUAGAGAUUUGGAGGAAUACCAAUGGCGAAGGCAGCCCCCUGGGAUAACACUGACGCUCAUGCACGAAAGCGUGGGGAGCAAACAGGAUUAGAUACCCUGGUAGU